rnacentral:rRNA from 1 species
AGUGAACGCUGGCGGUAGGCCUAACACAUGCAAGUCGAACGGCAGCACAGUAAGAGCUUGCUCUUACGGGUGGCGAGUGGCGGACGGGUGAGGAAUACAUCGGAAUCUACUUUUUCGUGGGGGAUAACGUAGGGAAACUUACGCUAAUACCGCAUACGACCUACGGGUGAAAGCAGGGGAUCUUCUGACCUUGCGCGAUUGAAUGAGCCGAUGUCGGAUUAGCUAGUUGGCGGGGUAAAGGCCCACCAAGGCGACGAUCCGUAGCUGGUCUGAGAGGAUGAUCAGCCACAAUGGAACUGAGACACGGUCCAGACUCCUACGGGAGGCAGCAGUGGGGAAUAUUGGACAGUGGGCGCAAGCCUGAUCAAGCCAUACCGCGUGGGUGAAGAAGGCCUUCGGGUUGUAAAGCCCUUUUGUUGGGAAAGAAAAGCAGCAGGUUAAUACCCCGCUGUUCUGACGGUACCCAAAGAAUAAGCACCGGCUAACUUCGU